rnacentral:rRNA from 1 species
CCUACGGGAGGCAGCAGUGAGGAAGAUUGGUCAAUGGGCGCGAGCCUGAACCAGCCAAGUAGCGUGAAGGAUGACUGCCCUACGGGUUGUAAACUGCUUUUAUAAAGGAAUAAAGUGAGGCACGUGUGCCUUUUUGUAUGUACUUUAUGAAUAAGGAUCGGCUAACUCCGUGCCAGCAGCCGCGGUAAUACGGAGGAUCCGAGCGUUAUCCGGAUUUAUUGGGUUUAAAGGGAGCGUAGAUGGGUUGUUAAGUCAGUUGUGAAAGUUUGCGGCUCAACCGGAAAAUUGCAAUUGAUACUGGCAGUCUUGAGUACAGUUGAGGUAGGCGGCCUUCGUUUUGUAGCUGUGAAAUGCU